rnacentral:rRNA from 1 species
UACGUAGGGUGCGAGCGUUAAUCGGAAUUACUGGGCGUAAAGAGUGCGUAGGCGGUUCUUGUAGGCCGCUGUGAAAGCCCCGGGCUUAACCUGGGAAUGGCAGUGGAAACUGGGGGACUUGAAUUGAGCAGAGGGGGGUGGAAUGCCGCGUGUAGCAGUGAAAUGCGUAGAGAUGCGGCGGAACACCGAUGGCGAAGGCAGCCCCCUGGGCUUAAAUUGACGCUGAGGCACGAAAGCGUGGGGAGCAAACAGG